rnacentral:rRNA from 1 species
AACGAACGCUGGCGGCAUGCCUAACACAUGCAAGUCGAAGCGGAUCCUGGCUUCGGCCAGGUGAGAGUGGCGGACGGGUGAGUAACGCGUGGGAACCUGCCCAAUGGUCUGGGAUAACCGCGGGAAACUGCGGCUAAUACCGGAUAAGCCCGAGAGGGGAAAGAUUUAUCGCCGAUGGAGGGGCCCCGCGUCCGAUUAGGUGGUUGGUGAGGUAACGGCUCACCAAGCCUACGAUCGGUAGCUGGUCUGAGAGGAUGAUCAGCCACACUGGGACUGAGAUACGGCCCAGACUCCUACGGGAGGCAGCAGUGGGGAAUAUUGGACAAUGGGGGCAAGCCCUGCAUCCAGCAAUGCCGCGUGAGUGAUGAAGGCCUUAGGGUUGUAAAUGCUCUUUUGCCAGGGACGAUUGAUGACGGUACCUGGAGAAUAAGCCCCGGCUAACUUCGUGCCAGCAG